rnacentral:rRNA from 1 species
CCUACGGGAGGCUGCAGUGGGGAAUAUUGGACCAUGGGCGAAAGCCUGAUCCAGCCAUGCCGCGUGUGUGAAGAAGGCCUUCGGGUUGUAAAGCACUUUCAGUGGGGAAGAAAGCCUUGGGGCUAAUACCCUCGAGGAAGGACAUCACCCACAGAAGAAGCACCGGCUAACUCCGUGCCAGCAGCCGCGGUAAUACGGAGGGUGCGAGCGUUAAUCGGAAUUACUGGGCGUAAAGCGCGCGUAGGCGGUCUGAUAAGCCGGUUGUGAAAGCCCCGGGCUCAACCUGGGAACGGCAUCCGGAACUGUCAGGCUAGAGUGCAGGAGAGGAAGGUAGAAUUCCCGGUGUAGCGGUGAAAUGCGUAGAGAUCGGGAGGAAUACCAGUGGCGAAGGCGGCCUUCUGGACUGACACUGACGCUGAGGUGCGAAAGCGUGGGUAGCAAACAGGAUUAGAUACCCUAGUAGUC